GGUGUUCAUGCAAUGACCACCAGUCCGAGUCCAUCAAAUUUAUGGCACAACCGACUCGGACACAUGAGCGAGAAGGGAUUGAAGAUGUUGGCUCAGAAAGGUAAGUUUCCAGACUUGAAGAAAGUGGAAACUGAAUUCUGUGAACCUUGUGUUCUUGGAAAACAAAAGAGGGUUACUUUUGUGAAGACAGGGAGGACACCGAAAGCUCAGAAGUUAGAGCUUGUUCACUCGGAUGUAUAUGGACCAACCUCAGUUUUAUCUCUAGGAGGCUCAAGAUAUUAUGUUACUUUCAUUGAUGAUUCAACACGAAAGGUAAAGUGCUUAAAGUUUGAUAAUGGUGGGGAAUACAUAAGCAAGCAGUUCACUGACUAUUGCGCCAAGGAAGGGAUAAAGAUGAUCAAGACAGUUCCUGGAACUCCUCAGCGGAAUGGUGUAGCUGAGAGAAUGAAUAGAACUCUAAAUGAGAGGGCUAGAAGCAUGAGGCUAAAUGCCGGGAUGCCCAAAACAUUAUGGGCCGAUGCAGUUAGCACUGCAGCCUACUUGAUCAACCGUUCACCAACCGGUCCCUUAGAUUUCAAGUUGCCUGAAGAAAUGUGGAAAGGAAAGGAGGUAAGUCUCGAACACUUACGAGUCUUUGGUUGUAGUGCUUACGAUUUGUUAGAAGCUGGUGACAGGGAUAAGUUAGACUCAAAAUCCAAGAAGUGCACAUUCAUUGGUUAUGGGUCAGAACAAAUGGGU
rnacentral:lncRNA from 1 species